rnacentral:rRNA from 2 species
UGGGGGAUAUUGCACAAUGGGCGAAAGCCUGAUGCAGCGACGCCGCGUGGGGGAUGAAGGCUUUCGGGUUGUAAACCUCUUUCGCUAUCGAACAAGGCCCGCUUAGGGUGGGUUGAGGGUAUGUGGAGAAGAAGCGCCGGCUAACUACGUGCCAGCAGCCGCGGUAAUACGUAGGGCGCGAGCGUUGUCCGGAAUUAUUGGGCGUAAAGGGCUUGUAGGCGGCUUGUUGCGCCUGCUGUGAAAACGCGGGGCUUAACUUCGCGCGUGCAGUGGGUACGGGCAGGCUUGAGUGUGGUAGGGGUGACUGGAAUUCCAGGUGUAGCGGUGGAAUGCGCAGAUAUCUGGAGGAACACCGAUGGCGAAGGCAGGUCACUGGGCCAUUACUGACGCUGAGGAGCGAAAGCAUGGGUAGCGAACAGG